AGAGUUUGAUCCUGGCUCAGGAUGAAUGCUGGCGGCGUGCCUAACACAUGCAAGUCGAGCGGCAGCGAGUUUUACACUGAAUUCUGGAAGCUUCUGAGUAGUACAGAAGAUUUAUUCAAGAGUUUUGUGUAAAAUGUCGGCGAGCGGCGGACGGCUGAGUAACGCGUAGGAAUUUGCCCCAAAGUGAGGAAUAACUGCCCGAAAGGGUAGCUAAUGCCGCAUAUGGUCUUCGGAUUAAAGCCUUCGGGCGCUUUGGGAGAAGCCUGCGUUGGAUUAGGUAGUUGGUAGGGUAAUGGCCUACCAAGCCGACGAUCCAUAGCUGGUCUGAGAGGAUGAUCAGCCAGACUGGAACUGAGACACGGUCCAGACUCCUACGGGAGGCAGCAGUGAGGAAUCUUCCACAAUGGGCGAAAGCCUGAUGGAGCAACGCCGCGUGAAGGAUGAAGGCCUUCGGGUUGUAAACUUCUUUUAUGAGUGAAGAAUAUGACGGUAACUCAUGAAUAAGCACCGGCUAACUACGUGCCAGCAGCCGCGGUCAUACGUAGGGUGCAAGCAUUAUCCGGAGUGACUGGGCGUAAAGAGUUGCGUAGGCGGUUUAAUAAGUGAAUAGUGAAACCUGGUGGCUCAACCAUACAGACUAUUAUUCAAACUGUUAAACUCGAGAAUGGUAGAGGUAACUGGAAUUUCUAGUGUAGGAGUGAAAUCCGUAGAUAUUAGAAGGAACACCGAUGGCGUAGGCAGGUUACUGGGCCAUUUCUGACGCUAAGGCACGAAAGCGUGGGGAGCGAACCGGAUUAGAUACCCGGGUAGUCCACGCCGUAAACGAUGGAUACUAGCUGU
rnacentral:rRNA from 1 species